CCUACGGGGGGCAGCAGUCGAGAAUCAUUCACAAUGGGGGAAACCCUGAUGGUGCGACGCCGCGUGGGGGAAUGAAGGUCUUCGGAUUGUAAACCCCUGUCAUGUGGGAGCAAAUUAAAAAGAUAGUACCACAAGAGGAAGAGACGGCUAACUCUGUGCCAGCAGCCGCGGUAAUACAGAGGUCUCAAGCGUUGUUCGGAAUCACUGGGCGUAAGGCGUGCGUAGGCUGUUUCGUAAGUCGUGUGUGAAAGGCGCGGGCUCAACCCGCGGACGGCACAUGAUACUGCGAGACUAGAGUAAUGGAGGGGGAACCGGAAUUCUCGGUGUAGCAGUGAAAUGCGUAGAUAUCGAGAGGAACAUUCGUGGCGAAGGCGGGUUCCUGGACAUUAACUGACGCUGAGGCACGAAGGCCAGGGGAGCGAAAGGGAUUAGAUACCCCUGUAGUC
rnacentral:rRNA from 1 species